rnacentral:rRNA from 1 species
CCCUUAGAUGUUCUGGGCCGCACGCGUGCUACACUGAUGCAUUCAACGAGUCUAAAACCUGGUCUGAUAGGGCUGGGUAAUCUUUUGAAAGUGCAUCGUGAUUGGGAUAGAUGAUUGCAAUUCUUCAUCUUCAACGAGGAAUGCCUAGUAAACGCAAGUCAUCAGCUUGCAUUGAUACGUCCCUGCCCUUUGUACACACCGCCCGUCGCUCCUACCGAUUGAAUGAUCCGAUGAAUACCAUGGAUUGAGAGUACGAAUAGGUUCGCUUAUUUCUGCUGCUCGAGAAGUGGAGUAAAUCUUAUCAUUUAGAGGAAGGAGAAGUCGUAACA